rnacentral:rRNA from 1 species
GGUUAAGUGAAUAAGGGCGCACGGUGGAUGCCUUGGCACUAGGAGCCGAUGAAGGACGGGACUAACACCGAUAUGCUUUGGGGAGCUGUACGUAAGCUAUGAUCCAGAGAUUUCCGAAUGGGGGAACCCAACAUCUUUAAUAGGAUGUUACGAUUGUGUGAAUACAUAGCACAUUCGAGGUAGACGCAGAGAACUGAAACAUCUAAGUACCUGCAGGAAGAGAAAGAAAAUUCGAUUCCCUGAGUAGCGGCGAGCGAAACGGGAAAAGCCCAAACCAGCAAGCUUGCUUGUUGGGGUUGUAGGACUCCAAUAUGGUAGUUCUUUCAGAUAGUCGAAUGACUUGGAAAAGUCAGUCAAAGAGGGUAAAAACCCCGUAGACGAAAUGUGGAAGACACCUAGGAGGAUCCUGAGUACGGCGGAACACGAGAAAUUCCGUCGGAAUCCGGGAGGACCAUCUCCCAAGGCUAAAUACUCCCUAGUGACCGAUAGUGAACCAGUACCGUGAGGGAAAGGUGAAAAGCACCCCGGAAGGGGAGUGAAAUAGAACCUGAAACCGUGUGCCUACAACAAGUCAAAGCCCGUUAAUGGGUGAUGGCGUGCCUUUUGUAGAAUGAACCGGCGAGUUACGAUUGCAUGCGAGGUUAAGUUGAAGAGACGGAGCCGCAGCGAAAGCGAGUCUGAAUAGGGCGUUUGAGUAUGUAGUCGUAGACCCGAAACCAUGUGAUCUACCCAUGUCCAGGUUGAAGGUGCGGUAAAACGCACUGGAGGACCGAACCCACGUACGUUGAAAAGUGCGGGGAUGAGGUGUGGGUAGCGGAGAAAUUCCAAACGAACUUGGAGAUAGCUGGUUCUCUCCGAAAUAGCUUUAGGGCUAGCCUCGGAAUUGAGAAUGAUGGAGGUAGAGCACUGUUUGGACUAGGGGCCCAUCUCGGGUUACCGAAUUCAGAUAAACUCCGAAUGCCAUUCAUUCAUAUCCGGGAGUCAGACUGUGAGUGAUAAGAUCCAUAGUCGAAAGGGAAACAGCCCAGACCACCAGCUAAGGUCCCAAAAUAUAUGUUAAGUGGAAAAGGAUGUGGGGUUGCACAGACAACUAGGAUGUUGGCUUAGAAGCAGCCACCAUUUAAAGAGUGCGUAAUAGCUCACUAGUCGAGUGACCCUGCGCCGAAAAUGUACCGGGGCUAAACAUAUUACCGAAGCUGUGGAGUACACCUUUAGGUGUAUUGGUAGGAGAGCGUUCUAAGGGCGUUGAAGGCAGAUCGUGAGGACUGCUGGAGCGCUUAGAAGUGAGAAUGCCGGUAUGAGUAGCGAAAGACAGGUGAGAAUCCUGUCCACCGAAUGACUAAGGUUUCCUGGGGAAGGCUCGUCCGCCCAGGGUUAGUCGGGACCUAAGCCGAGGCCGACAGGCGUAGGCGAUGGAUAACAGGUUGAUAUUCCUGUACCCGUUGUUUUUGUUUGAGCAAUGGAGGGACGCAGGAGGCUAAGGAAUGCAGACGAUCGGAAAUGUCUGUCCAAGCAGUAAGUCUGAAGAGGAGUCAAAUGCUUCUUUUCUUAAGGACAAGCUGUGAUGGGGAGGGAAAUAAUAGUACCGAAGUUCCUGAUGUCACACUGCCGAGAAAAGCUUCUAGUGAGAAAACAGCGGCCCGUACCGCAAACCGACACAGGUAGUCGAGGAGAGAAUCCUAAGGUGAGCGAGAGAACUCUCGUUAAGGAACUCGGCAAAAUGACCCCGUAACUUCGGGAGAAGGGGUGCUGAUCAUACGAUCAGCCGCAGUGAAUAGGCCCAAGCGA